rnacentral:piRNA from 1 species
UGGUGAGUUCUCGUGAUGGUUUUGGA